UGCCUUUAUGUGUUGCCCUUUCAUUGUUUCUCUAAUGAUCGGGGUGUCAAAUAAGGCAUACAGUGACACUUGUGGCUGCCUGUUGAAUGAGUUUCAAGUGACUCUUUUAAGCAAACAGCCGCAAGAACACAU
rnacentral:snoRNA from 1 species